UACGGAGGGUGCAAGCGUUGUUCGGAAUUAUUGGGCGUAAAGGGCGUGUAGGUGGCACUCCAAGUCUGUUGUGAAAGCCCACGGCUCAACCGUGGAACUGCAAUGGAAACUGGGGCGCUCGAGUAUUGGAGGGGGUCGCGGAAUUCCCGGUGUAGAGGUGAAAUUCGUAGAUAUCGGGAGGAACACCAGUGGCGAAGGCGGCGACCUGGCCAAUUACUGACACUGAGACGCGAAAGCGUGGGUAGCAAACAGGAUUAGAAACCCUGGUAGU
rnacentral:rRNA from 1 species